AACGAACGCUGGCGGCAUGCCUAACACAUGCGAGUCGAACGAGAUCUUCGGGUCUAGUGGCGCACGGGUGCGUAACGCGUGGGAAUCUGCCCUUUGGUUCGGAAUAACAGUUGGAAACGACUGCUAAUACCGGAUGAUGACGAAAGUCCAAAGAUUUAUCGCCAGAGGAUGAGCCCGCGUAGGAUUAGCUAGUUGGUGUGGUAAAGGCGCACCAAGGCGACGAUCCUUAGCUGGUCUGAGAGGAUAAUCAGCCACACUGGGACUGAGACACGGCCCAGACUCCUACGGGAGGCAGCAGUGGGGAAUAUUGGACAAUGGGCGAAAGCCUGAUCCAGCAAUGCCGCGUGAGUGAUGAAGACCUUAGGGUUGUAAAGCUCUUUUACCCGGGAUGAUAAUGACAGUACCGGGAGAAUAAGCUCCGGCUAACUCCGUGCCAGCCGCCGCAGUAA
rnacentral:rRNA from 1 species